UUGUAUUGAAGGACCUACAUGCAGAACAGGAGUGCUCCGAGAGCAAAAUAUCCCCCACUGGCAAAUGCUGCUUUGGUACAAGUGCUUGCCACAUUUUGAUAACAGUUCAAGGAAUUGCACCAAGUUUCCCAAAAUUCAUCCUAAAAAUGUGACAGAUGAUUUCAGAAUGCAGGCACCAACUCAUGCAACUGGCAGUGUCUAGAUCUGUUAUUCAAGGUGGGCCAUAAUUCAGGUAAAAUAAGCCCAACUGGAACAAUAUGAAAAUAUGCAUAUUACGAACCUAUAACAAGGACUUGUACCAAGUUUCUCUAAAAUUCUU